rnacentral:rRNA from 1 species
UUUACAUGAAGCCUAGCGAUUGUAAAUUUAGUGGCGGACGGGUGAGUAACGCGUGGGUAACCUGCCUUGUACUGGGGGACAACAGUUGGAAACGACUGCUAAUACCGCAUAAAGCAUUUUGACCGCAUGAUCGAGAUGCCAAAGAUUUAUUGCUGAAAGAUGGGCUCGCGUCUGAUUAGCUAGUUGGUGGGGUAACGGCCUACCAAGGCGACGAUCAGUAGCCGACCUGAGAGGGUGACCGGCCACAUUGGGACUGAGACACGGCCCAAACUCC